AGAGAGAGACAUGCGCGCAUAUCAAUAAGCGGAGGAAAAGAAACUAACAAGGAUUCCCUUAGUAACGGCGAGUGAAGCGGGAAGAGCUCAAAUUUGAAAUCUUCAGGGUUCUACCUUGACGAAUUGUAGUUUAUAGAAGUGUUUUCUGCUAGUGGAGUGGCAAAAGUUCUUUGGAAUAGGACAUCAUAGAGGGUGAGAAUCCCGUAUUUGGUCAUUCCUCCUAGCGUUGUGAUACACUUUCAACGAGUCGGAUUGUUUGGGAAUGCAGCCCAAAAUGGGUGGUAAAUUUCAUCUAAAGCUAAAUAUUGGCGAGAGACCGAUAGCGAACAAGUACCGUGAGGGAAAGAUGAAAAGAACUUUGAAAAGAGAGUUAAACAGUACGUGAAAUUGUCAAAAGGGAAGCGUUUGACACCAGUGUUGUUUUUCCGAAAAUCAAUUACGAAUGUUUUAUUUUUGAGGAGUUAUGACUUCAUCGGCUUGCUCCUUUCUUUAUGAAACUUUCUUAAUGCACUUUUCGGUUAACAAGUCAACAUCAAUUUCUUUUGUUGUAAAAGGGUAUGAGGAAGGUGGCUUUCUUUUCGGAGAAAGUGUUUAUAGCCUUGUGCCUCUGCAAUCGGAGAGAUUGAGGUCUGCAGCGUAGAUCCUUCGGGGUUAGAUACAGUUUGUGCUAAGUUAUAGCUUUUCAUAGACAACUUGUUGACUAUGUUUAGUCUUGUAGCUUACUCGCUGACGCUAUUUUACCUACGCUUAGGAUGUUGAUAGUCACAGCGUGUAC
rnacentral:rRNA from 1 species